rnacentral:rRNA from 1 species
GAUGAACGCUAGCGGCAGGCCUAAUACAUGCAAGUCGAACGGUGUCUUCGGACAUAGUGGCGCACGGGUGCGUAACACGUAUGCAACCUACCUUACAUUGGGGGAUAGCCUUUCGAAAGGGAGAUUAAUACCGCAUAAGACAGUAGCUGGGCAUCCAGCAGCUGUUAAAGAUUUAUCGAUGUAAGCUGGGCAUGCGUCCAAUUAGCUAGUUGGUGAGGUAACGGCUCACAAAGGAAAUGAUUGGUAGGGGAACUGAGAGGUCAAUCCCCCACACUGGCACUGAGAUACGGGCCAGACUCCUACGGGAGGCAGCAGUAGGGAAUAUUGGGCAAUGGACGCAAGUCUGACCCAGCCAUGCCGCGUGCAGGAUGAAGGCGUUAUGCGUUGUAAACUGCUUUUAUACAGGAAGAAACGACUCUUGCGAGAGGCAUUGACGGUACUGUAUGAAUAAGCACCGGCUAACUCCGUGCCAGCCGCCGCAGUAAGAC